GGAUCUCUUUUUGGAGGUUCCUUCUUUGUGGUAUUUUCCCCUCUGAGCCUAGAUUUUUGGAGACAGGUGGGAGGGCUGGGAAGGGCAUCUCUUCACAAGUCCCACAGAACUCAGCCUGACACUGGAACAUAACCUCAAUACAAUUCUGAGAUGCAAUCAAUCCACUGAUCUACCAGUCCCGGGCCAUCAGCACGAUGAUUCCCCCUUGCUUUAAAUCUCUUUGUCAUCUAUAGCAAGGAUUUACUAUUUUUCCCUAGUGCUUGCAAACAUUCAUCAUCUGAAGACUAGGUGGCUCAAGAAUAUUGCAGGAAGGCAACUAAUCUUGAAGUGAUGAGGAAAAAAACUUUGGAGGGAAAAAAAAAACCACCACAAAGAACAUGAUGCAGCAGUGCAUUUGAGAUUGGGAGGCUAGCCCUUUGGUCAUAGCGCAGUGUGAGGUCAGAACCAUUCCUUACAUUAUCCCUGCUCCAUGACAGGGAGGUAGCACACGAACCGUGAAACUAUUCCCUCCUAGUCUGUCUCGACACAGAAUUAGAUUGGAUUAAACUGGUCUUUGAGAGAAAAAACUGUCAUCAGUGACUUCAUAACAGGAUUCUAAAACAGAAGACAUCAUGAGCAAAAUGUAUAUGCGCUACAUGUAUUGGUAAACAUUGAUGCUUAUGUAGUAGUUAUGUUUUCUUCCUCAAGGACAGACCUCAACCACGAUGCCACUGUCAGAUCUGCCAGUGGUAGCUUUCCACAGACUUUGUAGGAGGCAGACGUUAGGAUGAAAGACAACUGCUACAGUCCUUUAUUAGCACAAAAUGCAUUGUGGGAGCUUGUAUGCACUGCUAAUUCCUCAGUCCUCUGAGCACAGAACCUAUAGAAAAGCCAGUGAGGCAGGCAGCAAACCAACACCUGUGAUGGAAGCCACUUCCAGUUCAGUUAGAACAGCUUGCUGAGGUCGUGUCACUGUGAGGUAAAUAGGUGCAGCUCUUCCUGUCAUGCUAAAAGCCAUUGCAGUCUUCCUGCACAGUCUGUCUUUUCAAAGUCACAGCUCAUGACAAACAAUGCCAAUAAGAGCCUGAAGUAGCAGAAGCAGAAUUGAAAAGAACUGUGUUGUUCGGAAUAUUGUUUUUAUACUCAACCUUUCUGCACGUGAAGUCUUCUCUGGUGAUUUCUAAAAUGAAAACUGGGUGCAGAAUCAGCAGUUUUGUUUGUGUCCACUAGAUCUGCUUUUACUGAACUGGUGCUAGGGUUUUUUUUUUUGUACAGGAACUGCACGGCUCCCUGCCUCACCGUAGUGUGGCCUGGAUAACAACAGAUGGCAUGGCAGGAAUGUUUUCUGGAAGAGUUCCGAUAGCUGAGGCAGCUGUGGACACUGUAAACAUAGAUAUUCAGUCUACAGGGGGAUAUUAACAGGAUCUACCUAACAGCUGCGCAAAGAACCCAUAGACUUCUCAGAGGAGAUACAAUUAAAUAAUUUCAAGACAAGACAAGAGGAUCUACAGAUAUUUGCCAGUAAAACCAAGCAGAUGCUGAAGGCUUUCCUAAAACCCUUGAAAAUUGCUUUCACUGGAUUGCUGCACUACCUACUGAUGAUUUCCUGAGAAGCCUCAAGUACAAUCCUAUUUCACAGGUAGGUAUUUUAUGAUCAGAAGUUCAAACAAAACCUCCAAGAGUUUGUUCAGUUUUCAAAGAACUUGCAGAAGGAAGUCAGUCCAACGUGCUGCGAUGGUAUAGUAAAAUGUAUGGACAAUUAGAUAUUAGAACUGAUUUGAUUUUAGAAAUGACCUCACAGAAGAGUUAGCUUUUGGUAUCGGCUUUGUUCUAAAUUGGUGAGUAGAGCCUCUCCUAAAAAUAGUCAGUCUACGUGAGAAUGAAAGACCUUCUAGCUCCAUAAGCUAAGAGAUGGACUAGGGAAGAGAGAAAACAGAUCAUGCAUACAGUAACACGCAACAUGAAGUGUUGAUAUGACAUGUUGGGGCAGAUCCAGAGGAGGGCCAUGAAGAUGACCGGAGGGUUGGAGCACCUCCCCUCUGAGGACAGACUGAGAGAGUUGGGGCUCUUCAGCCUUGAGAAGGCUCCAGAAGGACCUUAUAGAGACUUUCCAGCACCUAUGGGAUGCCUACGGGAAAGCUGGGGAGGGUCUUUUUAUAAGGGUAUGUAGCAACAGAACAAGGGGAAAUGGUUUUAAACUGGAAG